rnacentral:rRNA from 1 species
UUGGUGAGGUAACGGUUCGUCAAGCCGACGAUGGAUAGGGGAACUGAGAGGUUGGUCCCCCACACUGGUACUGAGACACGGACCAGACUCCUACGGGAGGCAGCAGUGAGGAAUAUUGGUCAAUGGGCGAGAGCCUGAACCAGCCAAGUCGCGUGAAGGAAGAAGGAUCUAUGGUUCGUAAACUUCUUUUGCAGGGGAAUAAAGUGCGGGACGUGUCCUGUUUUGUAUGUACCCUGAGAAUAAGGAUCGGCUAACUCCGUGCCAGCAGCCGCCGGUAAUACGGAGGAUCCGAGCGUUAUCCGGAUUUAUUGGGUUUAAAGGGCGCGUAGGUGGCUUUAUAAGUUCAGCGGUGAAAGUUUUGCAGCUUAACUGUAAAAAUGCCGUUGAAACUGUAAGACUUGAGUGUAAAUGAGGUAGGCGGAAUGCGUGGUG